rnacentral:lncRNA from 1 species
CUUGUCGGCUGUCUGCAAAUAACGUUCCCAAACGCUUCUUCGCUCUGGGUCUGCGGGCGCUUUAAACAACGAAAGCUUUGCCGUUUGUUUGCUUCAACAGUACCCCGUGCUGCAUCCAGGAGCGAAGCAAUGGUUCAAGUGUUGUUUUUUAGGAGCUGUUCGCACGUUAUAGCAUCACACAUUGAGAGAAAAGCGGGAGAAUCACUUCCAAACAAGCGCGUUCUAGCCAAGCAACCGGCAAUACGAGGCACCCGCCUUCAAGAUUG